AUGAGAGGAGAGAGGAGAGCCAUCAUCCUCUGUUCUGUUGAGAGCCAUCAUCCUCAGCUAGAAAAAAAGAGCCAUCAUCGUCCGUUCUGCUCAGCACAGUAUGCUAGUAGAUUGCUGACACGUGGCGUCAAGGAAAGAUGCCGGGCUUCAGUCCAAGCAAAGCCUCUAUCUAAAUCGGCACCAGUUGGCCUGACACGGAGAUCCUCUCUGCCACCUGAAAGGGAGGUGACGUCCGGAGCCAAAGUUUUUUUUUCCCUUGAUGGAACGGCAGGACUCAUUUCGUUUUCUGUCAGCAAAGGGAGAAGCGACCUCUGCCCAUGA
rnacentral:rRNA from 1 species